rnacentral:lncRNA from 1 species
GGAGGGAGCGGGGAGGGGAGGCCGGGCCAGGGGAGCAUGACGCAGGGAGGAGGGAAGGGACAAAAGAGAGGCCGGGAGGCGGCGGGCGGCCGGCGCGCCCACUGCUCCCUCCCUCCUCCCUGGCCAGUCCCCGUCCUCUGGCGGCGGCUUUCCCUCGGUCCCCUCCGCCUCUCCUCCUUCCCUUCUCCGGCCUCCUCCCUCUUCUCGCCAGCCUCCCUCCUGGCCCUGCGCGAUCUCUCGCGCCUCUCCCUCCGCUCGUGUCAUUGUGUCAUUCUUUCUCUCCUCCUCGCUCGGGUCUCGGCAUCCACCGUGAGUCUGGUAAUGUAUUCCCAGUGAUGAGGGCAUCGACUGUGAUUGAAGACACAGAAGAGACAUUGGAGAGAAGACCACGUGAAGACAGACUGGAGCAAGGUGUCUACAUGCCACGGAGCAGAAAGGAUUCCUACCAGCCUCCUUGAUUUCCAAAUCCCAUUCUCCACAACUGUAAGAGAAUAAAUUUCCAUUGAACAAUAACAUUAGAAAUGAGAACAAGUUGUGUUGUUCCUCUCUACUGUCAAUAUAUUAAUAGUCACUUUCAAAUGUAAGCACUCUAAUGUAACUUGGAGAAGAGAUCAUUGUCUGUUCAAGGUCAAAUUUUAUCAUUCAGUUGAAGUGUG